UCUUUCUUUUUUUUUUUUUUUUUUUUUUUACAUUGAACAGACAGGAUCUCUGUCCUUUCCGUUUAAACAGGCUGGACCGGUUCAAGUUCCGAGUCAGACCAGGGGUGGGGGCGGCGAGUGAGCGCGCGCGGAGGAGGGGGGACGCGGGGCCCGGAGAGGGAGAGACGCGGGGGGGCUCCCGCGCGGCGGCGGGCGGCGGCCGGGAGCAGGACGGCGUGGGGCGGCGCCGGCCCCGCCGCGCCUCCCCCGUCGGCGGCCCCGGCGAGCGGCGGUGGUACAGUCCGAGACAGCCCCCGGCUAUAAAUAGCGCCAGGCGCAUGGCUCUUCGGGAGGCGCUGAGAUUCCGGGCCCGGCGGCCGCGGGGAGCGGGUGCCCGUUAGGAACGGGGCUGCUGGCCUCCUCUUUGCCUUUUGGGGGUUCUUUUUGUAAUAGCAGCAGACUAGAAAAAGCGAGUCGGCUUGGAGGGAGUCCGCCCAGCGAUCCGAGUGCGCAUUGAUCAGUGUCGAGAGAAAAAAAGCUACAUAAAUAUAUAUUAUGUGGAUAAAUCUGUAGACAAGA